UACAGAGGGGGCAAGCGUUGUUCGGAAUUACUGGGCGUAAAGCGAGUGUAGGUGGUUGUCGUAGUCAGGCGUGAAAGCCUUGAGCUCAACUCAAGAAAUGCGCUUGAUACUGGGCAGCUAGAGGACCGGAGAGGAUAGUGGAAUUCCCAGUGUAGUGGUGAAAUACGUAGAGAUUGGGAAGAACACCAGUGGCGAAGGCGGCUAUCUGGACGGUUUCUGACACUAAGACUCGAAAGCGUGGGGAGCAAACAGG
rnacentral:rRNA from 1 species